rnacentral:misc_RNA from 1 species
UCGCUGGUGACGCAGUCAGUGGAGAGACGUGGAGUGCUGGCGAGCGGCGGCCGCGCCAGGCCUGCCCGUGAUUUUCUGUUCGACAGCGGCUGGACGCAGUGCUGAGUGACAGAGGGGCGUGGGACGAACUCUUUUGUCGCGCAGUGGAAGGCCGACGGGGAGCGCCCGAACUGGACCAAAGAUGGCGCACCGUCGCGGGCCUCCGGCGAACGAAUCUACGCCGAUCUGUCGGUGUCGCGUGCUCUACCUGGGCUCCUCCGUGCCGCACAUUACCAAGGACGGCCUGCAGGGCAUCCAGGAGCCGCUGAGAGAGCUCUAUCCCAGUGAGGGCAUCUCGGGAGCCAAAGGCAUCGACUCGUGGCUCAGCGUCUGGAGUAACGGCCUCCUCCUGGAGAAUGUCGACGAGAAACAGAAGAAAAUCACCCGCUUCUUCCCGAUCGAGGUGCUGCACUACUGCGCCGCUGUGCGCUACGUCAUGGUUCCGGCCAGCUCCGGCGGCGACCAGGAGCGGGUGGCGCGCUUUUUGCCUCUCGACUCUCCGUUCGCCCGCAGUCCGAGCAUCGCGCACCCGCCGCUGUUCGCCGCCAUCCUGCGGCGCACCACCGGCAUCAAGGUGCUCGAGUGCCACGCGUUCAUCUGCAAGCGCGAGACGCCGGCCAACGCGCUGGUGCGCUGCUGUUUCCACGCGUACGCCGACUCGAUGCAGGCUCGCCAGAUGGACGGCGGCGUGUACAGUUCGAUCUACGGGCCGGCGUCGAGCAGCGCGCGGCCCGGCCGACUGCCGGCCGACCAGUCCGUGGCUGAGGCGCAGAUCGACGUCAUCGAAAAGGUGGAGGAGUGGCAGGUGGACCAGUCGGUGCCAUCCACCUCUAACGGCGGUGACGCCGCGGCCGGAGACGAGCUCUCAGUCUACAAUGGCGACAAGAACCACAAAGUGUGGGCCGGCCCGGCGCGCAGUGAGCGCGAGGUGAUUUACAACGAGUACGAGCUGGCCGGCCGCGGCGCCUCCAUUUACGGCUCGACCGGCUCGCGCGCCGCCCGUCCGCGACAGAUGGUGAUGCCCGCGGCGCCGCCGCCGCCGCCGCCCACGCCGCCGCCAGAGACAGAAGUCAAGAAAAAGGCCAGGAAGCAGAAGACGCGGGGAGAGCGUGGCUCGGCCGGCUCUCCGUCCCGUGCCGCCAUGAUGAAUGGUCAGGGACCGAGCGGCCACACCAUGGGCGGCCCUGUGACGAACGGGCACGGCCCUCCGCUAAACGGUCACGGCCCGCCUCUGAAUGGGCACGGCCUUCCGCUGAACGGGCACGGCCCUCCGCUGAAUGGGCACGGGCCGCCGGUGAACGGUCACCGGUCGCCGCAGAGGGUGGCCUCUCGCCAGGAGCGGCGGCCGGCCGGCGCGGCCGUGUCCCCGCGGCAGAGGGUGGCGCGCGCGCGGCCGCCGCCGGCCCACCUGUACCGGCCCCCGACACUGGUGUACGGGCCGGCGCCGCCGCCGCCGCCACCGCCGCCGCACAUGGCGCCGCUGGUGGCCACCCCUUACGGACCGGCCGUGAUGACACUGCCGUACCGACCGCGGCGCUCGGCCUCGCGCGCCGCCGAGGAGCCCGUCUACCUGCCGUCGGCGCGGCCGCUCAGUCCGACGGCCUCCUACCAGCCGGCCCACUUCCCGCACGAGGCCUACCUGAUGCAGCAGCAGUACGCCACUGUCGACCGGCGGCGCAAGACGCGCAAAAAGUCCCGCAAAGAGGAGGAAUCCCCGCCCAACACGGGCAUCUACAAGCGGCGCAACCACCUGAACGAGAAGGCGUUCGGCUUCUCCAUCCAGCAGGAGCACCGGUCGCGCUCGUACGGCUCGCUUGCCAACGCUGACGGCGCCGAGGGCCGGCCGCACUCGCGGGAGGAGCUGCGCAAGAGCCGCGAGAUGCAGCAGAUGCUGCACGAGCUGGACCUGAGCGCCGACGAGCUGGAGCGCUCCGAGGUGCGGCCGGGCCUGUACCGCGGCCCCGACUCCGUCUCGCAGCUCAGCCACCACUCGCACCACUCUGGCUUCAGGAGGUUGUGAAGGUUCCACGGGCCGGCGAGAGGCUGAGCGACGUCGGGUCAAGAAGCCGCCGCCGGCCGACGCACCGUUAGCCGAGCGACCGGCCGAGCGACGGGCCGUCCCGCCGUCCGGCUGGCCGAGCGACCGGCGCGCCGCCGCCGCCCAGCCAGGGUCCUACAUUGAGAACGGGUGCGUGGCGUGUGUGUAUGUGUGUGAGAGAGCGGCUCGGCGCGGCGCGGACCGGUCAGCGCCGGCCCGCCCGCCCGCGGCCGCCGGGCCGGCUGACCCGGAUCGCGCUGACCCGGAUUGGACCGGCGCGCCGCCGGCCGCCGAGCCAAGCGACAUUUUUAACGGUGCUGCCGGCUGGGGCUCUGCCGGCCCGCUGCCGCCGCCGGCGCGCUCUGUACGUGCUCAAACUCGGCGCCGUGUCGCCGUGUCGCCUAUGUAGUUAUACGCUAUGGAGAGUUGUCGAACGAAGGACCUAUGUGCGUGUCAAAAGGUGAAGAGGUGUGGCCAGAGGAAGGGAGCUCCGGAGCUCUCCUGUGGGGGUGACCCCGACACUGCGAACGGUGGAGUGAGGCGCCGCUCUGCCGACUGUGCUGUGGAAUAUGGAUGCCUGAAAUGUUAUAUAUCGAUAGCUGCAAUGUAAAUUUAUGUACUACUGUUCUGUGAACCGUGAACGGCUCAGCUUCUCAGCUCUAGCUGCAGGUUAAUCGAAAUGGACACCGAACAGUCAGCUAUAUUAUGACGCAUCAGCUAAGUGACGUGAAUAAUAUACUGAUGUUUUCUUUC